ensembl:piRNA 21ur-2054 ncRNA
UCGGAGGAUUCAGCCUGCAAU